AGUGACGUGUCGGUCUGCGGACCGCGAAGGAGUCGCGGGGGAUGAAGGUGUGGCGGGUUUACCCCAGUCAUGUGACCAGAAGCGGAAACUACGCGGAGGAAUAAACCGAAUCUACAAAUCCCAAAAAGCCGGGUUAGGGUAUCUCCCCUCUCGGUUUCCAGGAGAUUGUAGAAAUUGACUGUCCCCAAACAUAAGGUUAGAGAAGAGGAGGGAAGAACAUUCUACCUAUUUUAAAUAAACACUCAAACGCUUUCUCGUCCAGACCGUUAUAUCUUGUACGGGAUUUGUCCGACAGUUCGUUCAAGAGCUGUUUUUGACAGCGAUAGACGAGAGAGCCCUGCCGAUUUCUCGAGGCGUAUCCUUUUCUUAAACCCCCGACUUCGUGAACGAGCAUGCCUAGCCCUAAAAGGAUCGUGGGGGUUAAAUCGGCAGACUCUCCAUUGCCAGGCUAGUAAGUCAACCACCGCCGCAGGGGCAGUCCUUGCUAGCAGUAGACAAGCUUUUUCCGGAGACCCAGCACGCAGCCUUGCUGUGCUUUGUCGGCUCACCCCUAACCACUUGUCUCUUUUCCCCCUUAACCGCCCUCCCCCUGGGCGGGGGGAAGAAAUGCUGAGGUAGGUGAGGGCUGGGGAGAGGGAGAAGGGCGAAGUUCAGCAGCCAAUCCCGUCCCCUCUCAGACACGCGUGUAUACACACACCCACACACUGCAGUGGGCAAAAGCUACACCAAAGAAAAUGGGAGCGUCGGUAACUUCUAAGUCAGUGCCGAUGCCACCACGCACUUCUCUUCCUAUUUACGCUGUGAAUGCAAACCACCAAAGAUAAACUGAAAGCAUAUUUAAAUCAGUGCUUCAAAAUCAUGGGUACUUUUCACAAUUCACAUGACCAAGCUGACCCUGGGCCGUUAUGAUUCAACAGCUCUGGGGUUUUUUUUGUUUUGUUUUUGUUUUUUUGCUUUUUUACAAUGUGUUCACUGUAAUUUUGCUAAUGCAAGCAAACUAAAGCUGAACCUGAAGGAAUUGCAGAACUUCCAGUAAAUGCUUCUUCAAAACAAGAGCUGAUUUUUUUUUGUCAAAAAAGAAAAAGGAAUUAAAAAUAGAUUCCUUUGAAGUAAAAAAAAAAAAAACUUUCAAGAACAUAAAAUCUUGGUUUUUCAUUAAUUUUUAAAAAAUUGUUGAACAUGUAUGUUUCUUAAAGGGAAUCUCAUAAGUUUCCAGGUGGUAAAAUUAAGUCAAUUUUUUUCCAAAGUCAAAGUAUACUACUCAAGAACAAAGUUCAAAAUUUAAGCCUAUUGUUAGGAUGAUUCUUUAUUACCAAUUGAUAGGGAAAGUCUUCUCUGUAAGUAAAAUCAAGGUCGGGACAGCAGUCAUGGGGGAAAUUAUAGUUAUUGUAAACCCAGAUAUGAUAAAUUCAGCAUAUUAAUUAAUCCUCCUUUCUCCUUCUUUGUUGAACCAAAAGUUUUGAGUUGGUUCUUUCAGAAACACUAUUUUUACUAAUACAUCAAUUGCUUAGAAUAAAGCUAGAUUUUGCUUGCUUUGUAGGAGUCAGUUCAUUCCUGUGAAGCUCUUGGUCUUUCCUGAAGUGUCUACUUAACAUCUUUUACCUCAUUGAUCAAAAGAACACAUGCCUUCAUCUCAUCUGAGGCACACAGGAGUAACAGUAGCUAUUUUUUUCUUCAAGAUGUUCUCCCCAGAAUCUACCUUUCCAGGUGUGCUGCAAAAGCUACAUUACCAAGAUUUCUUCCUAAUGCACCUAUUUCACUGUUUCACAUUGUUUGGUUGGGUAUUUUGUUUCAGUUACUCAUCUGCUUCUUGGAUUUUUCCCUUUGAUAGAUUUUCAAGUAAUGUUUUCAAGAAAGCAGAGUGGAAAGCAAACAAUGCCUUUGUUUUGCCCUUAAUAACACAGUUAGAAUUAUGGAAACAAAAUUGGGACUCACCCAUCCCUUAUACACGACCACACUCAAAAGAGCACCCUUUUAAGGCAUUUUAUCUUCUGUCAUCUAGACUUGUUCUUAAGAACUCUAAUGCCCACAUCAAUCACAAUCCUCUGCAAGUAACGUAUUUUUCUGUUUGAUGAAUGGCUUUUCCUUAAAGAUCCCAUCUACGUGUUUUUCUUUCAUUUUUGCUGCUUUACUUUUUGCAGGAACUUUUUAUCCGAAAACUCCAAUUUUGUCAUCAGUCCAGGAAAUUUUCUUUGGUUGUAUUCUUGUCCCCUUGUUCCUGUUCUCAUUUUCUGAAGGUGCUAUUUAAAUGAAUGCGACCUCCUGAUUUUUGGACAUUUCCAUGAUUCUUAACUUUUUCCAUGUCUUGAUCAUUCUGCUCUAUGUUCUGAGAACUUUCCUUAAUUUUAUCUUUCAGUUCUCUAAUUUAGGCUCCUCAGUGUCACUUUUUAAAAUCAUUUAUUUUUUAAUCCUGAUAAAUGUAGUCUUUCAUCCCCAUCUCCUAUUUCACCCACCCACCCCUCCCCUCCCCUCUGGUAACCACGUUCGUUCUCUAUUGUUAAGAGUCUGUUUCUUGGUUUGUCUUUUUUUUCCUUUGCUCGUUUCUUUCUUGGUUUGUCUUUUUUUCCUUUGCUCGUUUCUUAAAUUCCACGAGUGAAAUCAUAUAGUAUAUCUUUCUCUGACUUCUUUCACUUAGUUAUCAUAUUCUCUAGCUCCAUCCAUUGUCAUUGCAAAUGGCAACAUUUCUUUUUAUGGCUGAGUAAUACUCCACUAUACACACACACACACACCACUUCUUCUUUAUCCACUCACCUAUCAAAGGACACUUGGGCUGCUUCCAUAGUUUGGCUAAUGUAAAUAAUGCUGCAAUAAACACAAGGGUGCAUGUAUCCCUUUGAAUUAGUAUCUUUGUAUUCUCUGGGUAAAUAGCCAGUAGUGCAACUACUGCAUUGUAGGAUAAUUUUUUAAAAAUUUUUUGAGGGAGCUCCAUGCUGUUUUCCACUCCCACCCACAGUGCACAAGGGUUUUUCUCUACAUCCUCGCCAACACUUGUCUCUUAUUUUAGCUAUUCUGACAGGUGUGAGGUGGUAUCUCAUCAUAGUUUGGAUAUGUAUUUCCCUGAUGAUGAUUGAUGUUGAGCAUCUUUUCAUGUGUCUAUUAGCCAUCUGGAUGUGUUCUUUGGAGAAAUGUCUGUUCAUAUUUUCUCAGUGUAACUUUUAUAAGCCAUCUCAUUUUAUGUUCACAAUUGCUUUAAUGUCUAAGAACUUUCCUAUUUCACCCCCUUUUCAUAAGUGUUCUUACUUUAUGGAUGCAAGUUUCCCAAAUUUCUAUGAAAGUAGUUAUUAGAAUUUUUAAAGUUACCUUUUGUUCUGGAAUUAACUUUCCUCCAGGUCCAUGUGGUCUUUUAUUUAUUUUGAGAGAGAAAGCAUGAGUGGGGGAGGGAUAGAGAGGAGUGAGAAUCCCAAGCAGGCUCUGCACUGUCAAGAGCAGAGCCUGACACAGGGCUUGAACUCACAAACUGCAAGAUCACGACCUGAGCCGAAGUCAGAGCUUAACUGACUGAGCCACCCAGACGUCCCCAGGUCCAGGUGGUCUCAUGUGUAUUUUGGGAAAGCUCCAGAGAGGCUUCUGAUGCUGAUCCAGAACUAUUUAUUUUCUCCAUGGGUCUGAAAGCACUACAAAACAUUUAAAUUUGAAAUCAGAGAAUGAAUACAAGAAUGGGAGGCUGAGUGUACAGCCUAACCUCUCAUCCCACUGAGAUUCUCUGAAAUCCAGUGUUUUAUCCAGCUUUGAGACCUAUGGAAAGUAGCAGCUAUUUGAACAUUUAUUUUUAAAAUUUUGAUCACUUGUCACUCUCUUUCACGGCACUGUUAGGUCUAAGAGGACAGUAAUCAUCUUUCUGGAUCAUCCUUGAAUCCCCAGUACUUUGCACAGUGCCCAACAGAGAAGGCAGUCAAAUGUUACAUGAUGAAGUCAUCCAUUGGCUCUAUGGACUCACUCUAUGGACUCCAAAAUAUUUCAGUGAUGCAUGGCUCUCAUUAUUUAAAAGGCAGAAGUUACACUGUAGUCAGCUUCCUUGUAACUUCUGUGGGUCAUUAUAGCACAGGGGGAAUGUAAAUGGGGAAGGAGGGAAAUUCCAUUGUACUACUGAGCUGAUAGCCUUUACGAGAACGGUCUCGAUAGAGGUAAACACAUGAACGUAGAAGCUAAUGUACUACUGUUAUCAGAAAAUGUAAGUGGAGAGAAACUGAAUAGACAGUGAACAGACAACUACAGUUGCCUUUUUUAUUCCCACAGUUGUUAUUCUUUUAAGGUGGUUCAAAAACCUCCAACCACUGGCUGUCCUCUGCUCAAUCCCUCUUCAACUUUCUCUUGGCCCCUUCCUAAGUGCAGAGCAAUUAAGUAGGAAUGUGAAUCUGUCCAUUUAAAACUUUCCAACCAAUUUAAAAACAUCCUGAGGUCUGAAGUGUCCACUUUCUAAUUCUUCAAGCUGCUACAAUGGGUGACUAAGCUCUAGAUGGGGUACAAGGGUAGUGUGUUGAACCACAAAUACCUGUCGAAGUCAUGAUGCCUAUUCCUAAAAAGAACUUUUGUGAACAGGAAUCCUUAGAUCCUCCUGGUUGCAUGGUUAAAACUCAAGCUCUCUCAUGUUUAGCAAUGUGAUCUCCCUUACUUUGUUACUGUUCAUCUGCCUCAAAUUGCCCUUUGGAACUUGGCAAAAACACAGCCUAAUCUCCCUUCGAUUCUAAUUUCCUAACCACUGCCCUCAGGCCCUCCCCCUAAUGAAAAUGUACGAAAAGUUCACACUGCUUUUGCGUGCAUCUCAUUUGAGACUGUGGCCAGAUUUCUAUUAUAGAUAUGUCUAAUCUAUCAUUUGUGCCUGGCCUCUCAGUUACACUAAUAAAACUGUGGAUUCCUCACUUCCAUCUUUAAGCAUCUUCUAUAGCCAGUCACAGUGCUGGAUAAGCAUCACUUCAUCCACUUAACCUCCCACCCUUCCAAACUAAGACCAGCUUAGUUGUACAAACACAAAUUUCAGGCAGCAAAGAUGCGGCCACUUAAAUAACUAUGCCAAUUGUAAAAAUUUAAUCUUAAAUAAGGUAAUUGCUGAUGAAAUAUGAAGAUCUUUGUCAAACCACCCCCACAGCAACCUGGAAGUAUUUCUCUGCAAUACUACUGUCAAAUGACCAAAGAUAUCACAGAUGAAUAUUGGAAGGAAACCUUAUUUUAACUAUGUCAUUUACAUUUUCUUGUGCACAAUCUGGUAACAACACCCACUUCCAAGAUGCCCAUUAUUUUAAAACCUUCUAUACUUUGAACUUGCUUUUAUGUCUCUCAGCAAUGAAUUUUACAUCCUUACUGUCUUGUAUGUAAUAAACGUUUCUGUUAACCAAAUGUCUAACCUCUUGCCAAAUGCAAACGUUCAAAACCUAAAAGCCUCUCCCACCCUUCCUGAAUAUGCAGGAGACAUAGAUACAUACAGACUUUAAAAUAAACAAUUCCCAAUUCUUUCACAAGAUGUAAACAUGAUUAUAAUCACACACUCCGCACUUUCUUAGGGAACAUUUUUUAGGACUAAUCUCUCAAAACCACAACCAAAUUAUCCAAGGCAAAGUCGUGUGUUCCACUUAACCUUUUUUAACGUUUCACAAGGUGAUGACUUUUGAAAAUCCAACCAUUACACACUUGUGGGAAACCAGCUCACGUUUAAUUGUGACAUUUUAAAAUCGGACAAGUGUUUUGACAUCUGCCCCCCUCCCCCAUAUUUAGUCUCUAAAAUGACAGGAAAACACCAACCAAUCACAGGCUUAAUGGGUUUAAUAAAUUUACCCCUUCAGUUCCUAUCUGCAGCACCCAGGAUUCCUUUGAAAUUCCAGACAGACCCGGCAGCGGCCAGCAGCACACUUCGGACCUCCAGAGUUAAAAGUGCAGGUUCUCUGAGCAUUCGGUGUUGUGUGGCACUUGUCCGAAACUGGUACUUCCCUACAGCUGGGGAACUUUCGGUGUACCAGUGGAAAAAAAGCUUUUCCCCUUUAAGGGGAAGAAAAUCACUCCUCAAGACCCAGCAGAUCUGGCUGUGAGGUCUUUCCUCCUGUCCCAUCUCUUCGGGCUUGUUUUUUUGCAGUGGAGCAAGAGAGACCAAAAUCUAACCUGAGUUACAAGAAACAAGACAGUGAUGGCUAUAAAGGGAGUGACCCGGAGCAAAUGAGAUGCUCCUUCGCCUCCCACAUCCAAUAUAUGUGCUUCACAGAAAAACAACAAAAAAGUAACAGGUCCACAAAAUACAACAGCUAGAAUUACAAAAUCCAUUCAUCCAGAGGGUGGUGGAAGGCAGGAAGGGGAGUUGGGAGGGUAAAUGGCACAGGGAGAAAAAAAAGUAUUCAAAUCAGUCCAGGCACGGGGGCUGGCAAGUGCUAGAAAAGAGCUGCAGAAAAACCUGUGGUCCAUUCAGACCCACCAAUGUUAGAAAUCCACAUACUGGUGUCAGGAAGAUUCUGCCUUAUGCGCACCAGAGACAAAAAUCCCAAUUCCUCAGAGAGAAGGGAGUAUGCAGCGGGCCCUUGGAAGAGCGGGUCCUGCCUUCUCUGGCAGAGGAGGUGACAAGGAAAGGAGCUCCUACAGCCCCCUUCUGAUCCCGCCCAUCCCCUCUGGGUGGCAGGCGACUCAGUGGCCUGCAGCAGCCUUCAGUUUGGCAGGAGACGGAUGCGGUGAAGGGAAUUUCUCGGCAGAGGUUGAGCUACUCAGGGCAGACUGCAGGUAGACCGUCUUGUGGAAAAGUCUGUUGCUUAGGAAAACCACCAAGGAGAAGAGGCGCAACUGGAAAAGGCUGAAAGGCAAGAGACCCGACUUGUUAGAUCCCCAGCUGCUCAAACUUCGUGUUUUCACUACUUGACAGCUUAUUUUUAAACUUAAAAAUUUAGGUUAAACAUUUUUAAAUGACAUAGGGGGAAAUAGGAGAACUGAAAUUCGAUCAAGGAAGGACAGACACUAGACACAUGGGUUAACAGGCAGCAACCAAAGAAUGCACUGGGUCUGAUGCGGUCAUGAGUACGACAGAAUCACCACUGGGAGUGUCAGGCUUCAAGGAAAUAAAGUUACAUUUCAGGUUAAUUCUGAUUUGAGGAGUACUUGUCUAUGGCUGACUUCAGAGUAUAAACAUCAAGCCAUGUCUGAAGACAUCAAAUACUACAUGUGCUCCAUUUUCAAGAGUUUCAGGGGACAGCCAAUUACAGAGCCUGCAAUUACAGUGAGCAAGAGUGAGCCAACACCCAAAGCAGAUCUGAAAUGUUUAAUACAUGUAUCCUCACUGACUUCAGCAAAACUGAUCAAAGAUUAAACUUUUUUUUUUAAACUUCAGGAGUGCUAUUAUUAUUGCUGAAGAUUCAUAGUACUUUUACUAUCAAUAAACUCAUGUAGCCAGAUCACAUAGCCCACUAUAAAAAGUUGGCCAUUUUUACAAAAAUGGACUUACCCAUAGGUGUUUGCAAGUGCCUUAUGUUCAGUGAACUGUUAAAUUUUAAGAAUAUGUGUAAUUCUUUGUAAUGUAAUGUGCAUAUAUGCCUGGGAAAAAUUGGCGAAUCCAUUCCACAAGUGUUUUUCUCUCAUCAUAGUGUAUUAAUGUUUUCCUACAAUGUAAGAGGCUAUUUUUUAAAAAGUCUCAUUCCUAUAAUUGUGAUGUUAUAGCCCUGAUCCUUUACACAGACAGAUAGCUUACAUUAGUUACUACAUUUUAGCCAACACUGGCUAAUACUUACUAUGCUUUGCCAGGGGUCUUUGCUUCAUUGGCGCUGAUAAUGAAUAGAGGAAAGAGGAUGGAGAAGAGGCAGCCACUGUAAACAGAAGGGAAAUAGUCACCUUCAUGACAGCCAAGACUUUGGAAGGGAUAUUAGAAGCCCAAAGUUUCCUUGCCUCCGGAGCUAACAUCAUGGCUUGAUGAAAUCUUAAUGUUUCAAACAUCUCCAAAUUUUUUUUUCCCUAAGCACCAGCUACUUUUAACACUGCUCCAGGAGGCAACAUAAAAGAGUAUGUAUGGCAUAUAGAAUCAUGCAGGCUAGAUUUUAAUGCUGACAAACAUCUAUCUGUCAAGGAGAAAAAGUCUACAGACCCGACAGCCAAGUAAGAAUGGAAAAUGCCUACCACAGGAGCAG
rnacentral:lncRNA from 1 species